UUAGGAGAGUCCAUCGCCAUGGUCAGGCAAUGGAAUGGCCUUUCCCAGGAGCUCUAAGGGGACAGUGACUUACGUUCAGCAAGAAGGCAACAUUCCCACCAAGGUUCUUCACUUCAGCCUCUAGAUGGUCCUUCAGAGCACCAGAUCCAGGAGCACAGGUCUCCAAAAGCCGUCUGACACAGACUGCUAGCUGAUCUAUUGUGGAGGAAACCUUGAUGAUGAGGUAGCUGGACGAAACCUGGAGAGCAGUCGAACAGACAUGUUCUACGUUGAGAAGGACUGAAAAGGGGGGAAGAAAAAGUCACCCCAAGGAGAGAACUGGGUCUGAACAUCCCCGACCCCAAAUAAGCAAUUGAAUCAACUGAUUGUCAACAUUAUUGUGUAUAAAAGUGUCUCAAGUCAAGUCUUCUAUGAAGAAGGCCUUUAAUGUCGUGAACUUUGUCCUUGGAGAUAUGGACACGGGUUAUGGCGAUGAAUGUGUGAAUGCAUAAAUGUGUAGAAAAUUGUAAUUGAACUAUAGUGCAACUGCAGCAACACCUCACAGCUGCGUACAGAGGCAGUUGGGCAGGUGUCCCUGGCCAGAUGUUUUGUAUGAAACCCACUCCAAGCACCUAGCAUUGUCCAGCCAAGAAGAGAGAAUGGCUGAUAAAAAGUUCAGUUGUUCCAAUAUUUUCCCAUUAAAAGAAAACCCCAGUCUGGGAAACCCCCCUGCUCUGUGUACCCAUAAACUACCAGAGUUAAGGAAAAGCCCACUGCAAGCCCAGUAAAAGGGAAGGAAUUUAAGUGAAGGCUACCCAGAAAUGGAGGGCCAGCAUCUAAGCUAGGGCUUGUCUGACGUGCUGGAUCUCUGUAGGGCAGAGGGCAUGCUGGGAAGCUGUUUGCAGUAGGAAAUGGAAUUUAGCCAAUAAAAGAGUGCAAACUCAGGUGUUAUGCCUUUAUAUUCA